CACGGGGGGAGCAAGCUUUGUUCGGAAUCACUGGGCGUAAAGGGCGUGUAGGCGGUCAAGUAAGUGGAACGUGAAAUCCCUCGGCUCACCCGAGGACCUGCGUCCCAAACUGCUUGGCUUGAGUAUGGGAGAGGAUGAGGGAAUUCCUGGUGUAGCGGUGAAAUGCGUAGAUAUCAGGAGGAACACCGGUGGCGAAGGCGCUCAUCUGGCCCAAUACUGACGCUGAGGCGCGAAAGCUAGGGGAGCAAACGGG
rnacentral:rRNA from 1 species